rnacentral:tRNA from 1 species
GCCUUGGUGGCACAAUGGUUAAGCACUUGGCUGCUAACCAAGAGGUUGGUGGUUAGAGCCCACUCAGCAGUU